UUGCUCUUCAACGAGGAAUGCCUAGUAAGCGCGAGUCAUCAGCUCGCGUUGACUACGUCCCUGCCCUUUGUACACACCGCCCGUCGCUCCUACCGAUUGAAUGGUCCGGUGAAGUGUUCGGAUCGCGGCGACGGGGGCGGUUCGCCGCCCCGACGUCGCGAGAAGUCCAUUGAACCUUAUCAUUUAGAGGAAGGAGAAGUCGUAACAAGGUUUCCGUAGGUGAACCUGCGGAAGGAUCAUUGUCGUGACCCUGACCAAAACAGACCGCGCACGCGUCAUCCAAUCCGUCGGUGACGGCACCGUCCGUCGCUCGGCCUAUGCCUCGACCACCUCCCCUCCACGGAGUGGGUGGGGGCUCGAGGCAAAAGAACCCACGGCGCCGAAGGCGUCAAGGAACACUGUGCCUAACACGGGGCCAUGGCUAGCUUGCUAGCUGUGACUCGUGUUGCAAAGCUAUUUAAUCCACACGACUCUCGGCAACGGAUAUCUCGGCUCUCGCAUCGAUGAAGAACGUAGCGAAAUGCGAUACCUGGUGUGAAUUGCAGAAUCCCGCGAACCAUCGAGUCUUUGAACGCAAGUUGCGCCCGAGGCCACUCGGCCGAGGGCACGCCUGCCUGGGCGUCACGCCAAAACACGCUCCCACACCCCUCAUUGGGAAUCGGGAUGCGGCAUCUGGUCCCUCGUCUCGCAAGGGGCGGUGGACCGAAGUUCGGGCUGCCGGCGUACCGUGUCAAACACAGCGCGUGGUGGGCGUCUUUGCUUUAUCAACGCAGUGCAUACGACGCGUAGCCGGCAUGAUGGCCUCAAAACGACCCAACAAACGUAGCGCACGUCGCUUCGACCGCGACCCCAGGUCAGGCGGGACUACCCGCUGAGUUUAAGCAUAUCAAUAAGCGGAGGA
rnacentral:rRNA from 1 species